CAGCCAAAACGAGGCACGGCAAACAGCUCAGUAACACGUGGCUAAUCUGCCCUUAGGACGCGAACAACCCCGGGAAACUGGGGCUAAUUCUCGAUAGGUGAAGAACUCUGGAAUGAGUCUUUGCCUAAAAGAGCUUACGUUAUGCUCGUAAGUUUCGCCUAAGGAUGAGGCCGCGACCGAUCAGGUUGUUGGUGAGGUAAUGGCUCACCAAGCCUUUUACCGGUGCGGGCCGUGAGAGCGGGAGCCCGGAGAUGGGCACUGAGACAAGGGCCCAGGCCCUACGGGGCGCAGCAGUCGCGAAAACUUUGCAAUACACGAAAGUGUGCCAGGGCUAUCCCGAGUGCCAUCCGCUGAGGAAGGCUUUUACCCAGUCUAGAACGCUGGGGGAAUAAGGAGAGGGCAAGUCUGGUGUCAGCCGCCGCGGUAAUACCAGCUCUCCGAGUGGUGUGGAUGUUUAUUGGGCCUAAAGCAUCCGUAGCUGGCUAGGUAAGUCCCUUGUUAAAUCCACCGAAUUAAUCGUUGGAUCGCGGGGGAUACUGCUUGGCUAGGGGACGAGAGAGGCAGACGGUAUUUUUGGGGUAGGGGUGAAAUCCUAUAAUCCCAGGAAGACCACCAGUGGCGAAGGCUGUCUGCUAGAACGCGCCCGACGGUGAGGGAUGAAAGCUGGGGGAGCGAACCGGAUUAGAUACCCGGGUAGUCCCAGCUGUAAACGAUGCAGACUAGGUGUUUGGACGGCCACGUGCCGUUC
rnacentral:rRNA from 1 species